rnacentral:rRNA from 1 species
AGGUAUGUAGCAAUACGUAUCUUAGUGGCGAACGGGUGAGUAACACGUUGGUGACCUACCCCAGAGAGGGGGAUAACAGCUCGAAAGGGCUGCUAAUACCCCAUGCCGUCAUGGCGCUUAGAAAGCCAUGACGAAAGGUGCAAAUCGCUCUGGGAGGGGCCUGCGUCCCAUCAGCUAGUUGGUAGGGUAAUGGCCUACCAAGGCGACGACGGGUAGGGGACCUGAGAGGGCGACCCCCCACACUGGCACUGAAACACGGGCCAGACACCUACGGGUGGCAGCAGUAGGGAAUAUUGCACAAUGGGCGAAAGCCUGAUGCAGCAACGCCGCGUGCGCGAUGAAGGCCUUCGGGUCGUAAAGCACUUUUCUGGGAGAUGAGAAAGGACAGUAUCCCAGGAAUAAGUCUCGGCUAACUACGUGCCAGCAGCCGCGGUAAAACGUAGGAGGCGAGCGUUAUCCGGAUUCACUGGGCGUAAAGCGCGUGCAGGUGGCUUGGUAAGUUAGGCGUGAAAUCUCCCGGCUCAACUGGGAGAGGUCGUCUAAUACUACCGGGCUUGAGAGCAGAAGAGGAAGAUGGAAUUCCCGGUGUAGUGGUGAAAUGCGUAGAUAUCGGGAGGAACACCAGUGGCGAAGGCGAUCUUCUGGUCUGUUUCUGACACUCAGACGCGACAGCUAGGGUAGUAAACGGGAUUAGAGACCCCGGUAAUCCUAGCCGUAAACGAUGUAAACUUGGCGUUGGUGGGUUAAACUCCAUCAGUGCCGCA